UUCGCUUCUCGGCUCUCUGAGCUAAGAUCAUGUGUAGUAUCUGUUCUUUGCAGUGUAAUUUCUGCAACGGUCUCUAAACUGAGAACAAUGAAAUUACCUGUAUUUUUCACUUCCGGAUGGGUGCUGUGAGCUUGCUCAACCCCGUCCACGGGUCGGCCUCGUAUUGCAUUGUCUCGAGGAUUGGCCCAUUAUUU
rnacentral:snRNA from 1 species